rnacentral:misc_RNA from 1 species
UGCGAAGGGGGCUAGCGCUGUUCGGAAUUACUGGGUGUGAAGCGCACGUAGGCGGACUAUUAAGUCAGGGGUGAAAUCCCGGAGCUCAACUCCGGAACUGCCUUUGAUACUGGUAGUCUAGAGACCGAGAGAGGUAAGUGGAACUCCUAGUGUAGAGGUGGAAUUCGUAGAUAUUAGGAAGAACACCAGUGGCGAAGGCGGCUUCCUGGCUCGGAACUGACGCUGAGGUGCGAAAGCGUGGGGAGCAAACAGG